CUAAAACUAUAAAACAAGUAUGUAAGCCGGCCAAGGCUUAAAACCCCAUCCCAACUACCCAUUGGCCUUUAUCAAAUGCCGAUUGAAGCCACCAGAACUGGUUCUCCUGCUUCACCCUAUCAGUUCGGUCCCGUUCGGACACAGCCCUACUGAACCGAAGGAGCUCUGCUCCGCCUUGUGCCACGACGUCGCGAUUGUAUGGGAGUCGCCUAUCCACGGUUCUUCGUCUGACGUGGUAGAUUAACGGAACUGCCAAUCUAUCCUCUAUCAGACCGCAUCUGUCUAAAAAGAGGAAUGCCUCUAGUGGAAUGAAGCCGCUCAAGCGUGCACUUUCAAAAUACUCGUCGUUCGGAUAGAACGCCCCGAAAAUUAAUUGCAAUGUGACCUCGAACGAGUUUUAUCACGAAAUUGUCAAUUCUGUUGAUUCGAGCCCCCUUGUAUAGGACCUCGUUUGAAUAGUAAUGCACAUAAGAAGAUUCGGCUGUUCGAUAUAAGCCGGUACAGCGUUGUAAACACUGCCGCUCGAACACCCGAAACUUCUCCAUCUGGGAAGGGGCAACGUUGAACCACACAGGACAACCAUAAACGAUCAUCGUCCGUAUGAGGGCCAUGUAACAAAUUACAUUCACUCUGGGGUCAAGCCGACUGCUGUAAAACAGCCGUUUCGACAGAGCGAAGGCUCCUCUGGCCCUGGUCAGAGCAGCAUUUAUAUGUCUCUCGAAAUAUAAAUACUGAUCUAACCAGAGUACUUCACUACACUUUUGCUCGCUAAUGGCUGCCCUUGAAGACCAACGAUAACCAUCUUGACACAACAACUGAACAACUGACGUUGGGUGGCGAUUUUUCAAACAAAGUUUUCUUCUUCGACGAAGCACAUUUCUCACUCGGUGGGUAUGUUAAUAAACUCUAUUUUUGUGUUUGGGGUUCCGAGAAUCCUCAAGUAGUUGAAGAGAGGCCAAUACAUCCACAAAAAAUCAAUGUUUGAACCGUCUGUAUGCAGAUAAUCCUUUAACUCUUAAGCACUUAAAAACCAACAUUCGUUAUGACUUAGAUACCGCCUUAUUAGUGUCAAGAAGUGGUCAAAAUUGCCUCAAAAUAAUGGAUGCUUGCAUCAAUUUGUGUGGGAUCAUUUAAAUGAUGGAAUGUUUUACACAUAAUGUCAACGUUUAAACUUUAAAAUAAAAAAGAAACAAUUCUGUAAUGCAAAUCGAAUCCGAAUCCAUAGUUGUUAGUUGAGGCUCAUGUUUACUACUAACUUAACUGUAGCGUUACUUUAACAAAAUGAGUUAGUGAGCACUGUAUUAUAAUUUUAUAUCAAAUUACCUACUAUGUAAUUUUCAAAAAAAUAUUAAUUUAAUUUUCAAUUUCCAUAAAAGGAAACAACCAUGCUCAAUUCUUCCAGGAAAAUAUUUUUGCUCUAUGCCAUUCAAAAUCAAACAAGAAUUUUUCAAAAAAGAAGCUUUAAAAUGAAAAUAAAACCUCAUAUUCCAAGAUACGAAACAGUGCAAAGCAGAAACGAUCGUAGAAAGUUACCUCUUUCACCUGACUUUGGAGUGUACCGACCGCAGUUGACGACAAUACUUUCUAUUUCUCAUAGGUUCAGUGCUUUGGCAUUAGUGGGCUACGUCAACCUCUUAGCAUUAAAUGCAAUAUGUGGCAAACAUGAAUUUUCUGAAAUUAUUACAAUGGUGGAAGGCUUCGAGCUGACUGAGCCCGUUUUGUUUGCAUGUAAAUAUUUGUUUGCUUUCCCAUUUGCAUUGCAUGCAUGCCUUGGAGUUCGACAUCUUAUUUGGGAUACUGGAAACUGUUUAACUAUAAAAGGUGUAUAUUCAACAGGGUAUGCAGCUUGUUUGUCAACAAUAGUACUUUCAGGAAUUCUUGCUAAAAUUUAAUAAAUUGUUCAAAUAAUAAA